UUUCCUAGGAAGCUGAUGCUUACAACAAUGGAGAUUAGCAAUACCUGGACAGAGUUGAGCUUCAAAGGAUACUGAGAAAUAGCUAAAGCAGAUGAUAAAGAAAAAAUGAGGAAAUGCUGUGAAGAACUAAUAGAACGUUUCAGAAGCAGAACAAGUCGAGAGCAGUGAUGACCCUUUUGUUCCUGCUAGUACCUCCUGUCUGUCUGGCCGAACUCACCAUCAGAUGAUGUCUUGAACCUCACCUAGAUGGGCUGGUGGUGUGUGGCCAGGUUAAGAGCACCAACAGGAGUAAGAAAGUGACCUGCCUGGUUUUACCGUGUGUACUAGGGGAGGGGUUGAAAGCUUUCGGUUGAUACAUCACCUCUGGGAGUUGAAGAAGAAUGCAAUUAAGAGAGCUAAAGAAGUCAGUAGGUAUCUCUCCUGAACAAUUCUGGUUUUCUUCUAAUAGCUUUUACAAUUUUUACCUCUGUUAUGAAAUGCAAACUUUUAACCAAUAUUAGUAAUAGUAAUCUCAAAUCUCAUCAUCAUCAAAAUCUUAUUUAUGAAAUAUAGGAGUUAGUUCAUAUACAGCCUUAGCCUUUUCCACAUUAUAAAAUAUAUUCCAUAUAUAUGUGUGAUCUUCAUUUAAUAUUCAAGUAAAUGUUGUAAGAUAUUGUUAUUUUUAUUCUAACAUUUCACAGGUAUAGAAUCUGAAACUCAGAGGUCAACUGAUGUGUCAAAGAUACCUCCACAAAUCAGUACCUUGAUUAAAACUAAAAUUGGAGUCAUCUUCAUAUCUCCAUCUUUCUCCCUCUUCAUUAGGACCGAUUGUAGUCUGUUUCCCUCUCACUCACUUGCAAUCUUUAUUGCUUUAGUGUUGCAUUUGAUUUUUAUCUUUGUUUUUGUUUUAAAUACUGUCAUUAAAGUCAUAGAAAAAUCUAAAAUAAAACUGGUUGAAUAAAAAUUUUAAAAUCGA
rnacentral:lncRNA from 10 species